ACUGAACGCUGGCGGCAGGCCUAACACAUGCAAGUCGAGCGAGCGGCGGACGGGUGAGGAAUGUAUGGGGACUGCCCGAUAGAGGGGGAUAACUACUGGAAACGGUGGUUAAUACACCAUCCUAUCGGAUAACCCAUAUUGGAUUAGCUAGUAGGUGGGGUAAAGGCUCACCUAGGCGACGAUCCCUAGCUGGUCUGAGAGGAUGAUCAGGCACACUGUGACGGAGACACGGGCCAGACUCCUACGGAGGCAGCAGGGGGGCAUAGUGCACAAUGGGCGCAAUCCGGAUGCAGCCAUGCCGCGUGUAUGAAGAAGGCCUUAGGGUUGUAAAGUACUUGCAGCGGGUAGGCGUUACCCGCAGAAGAAGCACCGGCUAACUCCGUGCCAGCAGCCGCGGUAAUUC
rnacentral:rRNA from 1 species